GUAAGGAAUAUUGGACAAUGGACGCAAGUCUGAUCCAGCCAUGCCGCGUGAAGGAUUAAGGUCCUCUGGAUUGUAAACUUCUUUUAUAAGGGACGAAAAAAGGCUUUUCUAAGUCGUCUGACGGUACCUUAUGAAUAAGCACCGGCUAACUCCGUGCCAGCAGCCGCGGUAAUACGGAGGGUGCAAGCGUUAUCCGGAUUCACUGGGUUUAAAGGUUGCGUAGGCGGGCAGGUAAGUCAGUGGUGAAAUCCUAGAGCUUAACUCUAGAACUGCCAUUGAUACUAUCUGUCUUGAAUAUUGUGGAGGUAAGCGGAAUAUGUCAUGUAGCGGUGAAAUGCUUAGAUAUGACAUAGAACACCUAUUGCGAAGGCAGCUUACUACGCAUAUAUUGACGCUGAGGCACGAAAGCGUGGGGAUCAAACAGGAUUAGAAACCCUGGUAGUCC
rnacentral:rRNA from 1 species